AUCGCAAAGAAAAAGACAACCUAAAGACGGGAGGGGGAGGGCGAAGAGAAUUUUCCCCUCCAGUUUCGUGGCGGCCAGACCUCUUCUCCAAGCCCCCAGCCCACCGCCGCUCUUCUCCCCCAACCCUCUUCUUAUCUUUCCAGUUAAACUCCCCUCUUCUCUUCCAUCUCUUUUUUUUCUCUCUCUGCCGCCGCCGCCGCCGCCGCCGCCGCCGCCAUGAAGGGACCGGGGCUCUUCUCCGACAUUGGGAAGAAGGCCAAAGAUGUGCUGACAAAGGACUACAGCUGUGACCAAAAGCUAACCAUCUCGACCAACAGCGCAUCUGGAGUGGGCCUUACUUCUGCUGCAGUGAAGAAAGGGGGCCUUUAUUCUUUUGACAUUGGUACACAAUACAAGUACAAGAACACCCUUAUCAAUGUUAAAGUCGACACAGAUUCAAAUGUCUCAACAACUCUGACCAUGUUAGAGAUCUUGCCCUCUAUGAAAACAAUUGCUUCUUUUAAGCUGCCAGAUUACAAUUCUGGGAAGCUGGAGAUUCAAUAUUUCCAUCACCAUGCAAGUUUUACCACAGCUGUGGCCUUGAAGCAAUCAUCUGUUGUUGACCUCUCCGGGACAGUAGGUGCCCAUGGCAUUGCUUUUGGUGCAGAGGCUGGUUUUGACACAUCUUCAGGAAGUUUUACCAAGUACAGUGCUGGAAUAAGCUUGGGAAAACCUGAUUAUAAUGCUUCCAUAAUUCUGGCGGACAAGGGAGAUGCACUCCGUGCUUCAUAUGUGUACCAUUUGGAUGAGAGUCAGAAAAAUGCUGUGGUUGGAGAAAUUACCAGAAGGUUCUCUACCAAUGAAAACACAUUCACUGUUGGAGGGCAAUAUGCUCUUGAUCCCCUAACUACUGUGAAGUCGAGGCUGAACAACUCUGGGAAGCUUGCAGCACUUCUACAGCAUGAGCUGAAGUCCAAGUCGAUUCUGACCAUCUCUGCUCACAGAAUUCUAUUGAUGGUACCAUGGGAUUUUCUCUGAAUGGACCGACAGGCAAAGCAUGAUGGAGAUUUGUUUUCUUUAACCCUUGAGUCUUCUCGUGUCUAGUACAAGGAAGCAUUUCUGGAUCUGGCCCUUGGUUUACUGCCAACAGUAAUGUGUUCAUCCCUUGGGGAGUAUAUCCAUCUGGAGAAUCCAAUGGCUCGAGAUGAAAAAGAGCAACCACUCGAGAUGAAAAAGAGCAACCAUUCCAAGUCGAUGAUAUAAAUAGAGAGAACAAAGCUGUCUUGGUGUACGUUGAAUGCUUCACAGAUGAAAAGGAUCCUGAGAAUAAAGAGAGAAUGUCGCCCGAACAUACGCACUGCCAAGGUUUCAGAUCGCUCAGGUGGCUGCUGAUAACUGAUGCACUUCUACUGAUAGAAGUUAUUUCUCCACCCCAACGCUCACGAAGACCUUUCGAACAAUAGCUGCCGUUACUAAUCAUUAUACUGGCAAUUAAGAGAAAACAAAAGGAAAGAAGCCGUCAUCAGAAUCGCUGUUCACCACCUUAAUUGUAUUAGUACACAAUUACUACCUCUUUGUUGGGAGCCCCUGUAAUCAUUAGAACAGCUGCUACGAUGUCAUAAACAUUCCGUGGAUUACGUCUAAAACCCACACAAUUAAACAUCCAUGACUCAAGAUUUAGGGUCUGCUUGGUAACAAACGGAAUCACUAUCAGGUUGAAAUGCUGUCAGAAGAUUUUGGAAUUUUUUUAAGGAAAUAAAACAAAAGUCACACCAUUGAAGGUUC